GAGAAUUUAAAUAGCCGCAGUACCCUGACUGUGCAAAGGUAGCAUAAUCAGUUGACUUAUAAUUGAAGUCUAGUAUGAAUGGGAACACGGGAAUAUUCUGUCUUUAAUAUAUAAAAGAAAUUACUAAUUAAGUGAAAAUUCUUAAAAAUAAGAAAAUAGACGAGAAGACCCUAGAAAUUUUUUAAUUUGAUUUUGUUGGGGCGACAGGGUAACAAAAAACUUACCUAAAGUAAUAGGAAAUUUUUUAGUGGUGUAAUUAAAUUACUCUAGGGAUAACAGCAUAAUAUUUUAAAGGUUGUGACCUCGAUGUUGGACUAGGAAAAUACACUACUUAAAAGGUAGUGUUUAUGGUUCUGUUCGAACUUUUACUCCUACAU
rnacentral:rRNA from 1 species